AACGAAUGCUGGCGGCAGGCCUUACACAUGCAAGUCGAACGGCAGCACGGGAGCAAUCCUGGUGGCGAGUGGCGAACGGGUGAGUAAUAUAUCGGAACGUGCCCAGUCGUGGGGGAUAACGUAGCGAAAGCUACGCUAAUACCGCAUACGAUCUAUGGAUGAAAGCGGGGGAUCGCAAGACCUCGCGCGAUUGGAGCGGCCGAUAUCAGAUUAGCUAGUUGGUGAGGUAAAGGCUCACCAAGGCGACGAUCUGUAGCUGGUCUGAGAGGACGACCAGCCACACUGGAACUGAGACACGGUCCAGACUCCUACGGGAGGCAGCAGUGGGGAAUUUUGGACAAUGGGCGCAAGCCUGAUCCAGCAAUGCCGCGUGCAGGAUGAAGGCCUUCGGGUUGUAAACUGCUUUUGUACGGAACGAAACGGUGAGCUCUAAUACAGUUUGCUAAUGACGGUACCGUAAGAAUAAGCACCGGCUAACUACGUGCCAGCCGCCGCGGUAA
rnacentral:rRNA from 1 species